UGGGGAAUAUUGGACAAUGGGCGCAAGCCUGAUCCAGCCAUGCCGCGUGGGUGAAGAAGGCCUUCGGGUUGUAAAGCCCUUUUGUUGGGAAAGAAAAGCAGCCGGUUAAUACCCGGUUGUCAUGACGGUACCCAAAGAAUAAGCACCGGCUAACUUCGUGCCAGCAGCCGCGGUAAUACGAAGGGUGCAAGCGUUACUCGGAAUUACUGGGCGUAAAGCGUGCGUAGGUGGUUUGUUAAGUCAGAUGUGAAAGCCCUGGGCUCAACCUGGGAACUGCAUUUGAUACUGGCAGGCUAGAGUGCGGUAGAGGGGUGCGGAAUUCCUGGUGUAGCAGUGAAAUGCGUAGAGAUCAGGAGGAACAUCCGUGGCGAAGGCGGCACCCUGGGCCAGCACUGACACUGAGGCACGAAAGCGUGGGGAGCAAACAGG
rnacentral:rRNA from 1 species